AUUGAACGCUGGCGGCAGGCCUAACACAUGCAAGUCGAGCGACCGACGGACGGGUGAGUCAUGUGUGUGAGACUGCCUGAUGGGGGGGGAUAACUACUGGAAACGCUAGCUCCUAACACGUCCAAUCAGAUUUGGCCAGAUGGGAUUAGUUAGUGGGUGGGGUAAUGGCUCACCUAGGCGACGAUCCCUAGCUGGUCUGAGAGGAUGACCAGUCACACUGGAACUGAGACACGGUCCAGACUCCUACGGGAGGCAGCAGUGGGGAAUAUUGCACAAGGGGCGAAAGCCUGAUGCAGCCAUGCCGCGUGUGUGAAGAAGGCCUUCGGGUUGUAAAGCACUUUAAGCGGGGAGGCGUUACCCGCAGAAGAAGCACCGGCUAACUCCGUGCCAGCAGCCGCGGUAAUUC
rnacentral:rRNA from 1 species